rnacentral:rRNA from 1 species
UCAUUAUUGAAUGAACUUGGCGUGGUUGUUGCUGGUCCUCUUGGGGGUAUGGGCACACCCGUCAUCUUUAUCUUUCCACCUGUGCCCUUUUUGUAGGUCCAAAAAAUUUUUCCGAGGCAACUCGUUUGGGGGACUGGCGUUCGUUACUGUCGUCUUUCCCUGGAUUUUAGGCCUAUGUUUUCACAUACACCAUAAGAAUGUAAUAGAAUGUUAUUAAUGGGCUUUAUGCCUAUAAACUAUAUACAACUUUCAGCAACGGAUCUCUUGGCUCUCGCAUCGAUGAAGAACGCAGCGAAAUGCGAUAAGUAAUGUGAAUUGCAGAAUUCAGUGAAUCAUCGAAUCUUUGAACGCACCUUGCGCUCCUUGGUAUUCCGAGGAGCAUGCCUGUUUGAGUGUCAUUAAAUUCUCAACCUUAUUAGCUUUUGCUGAUAAUGGCUUGGAUGUGGGGGUUUAUUUGCUGGCUUCUUUAUGAGAUCAGCUCCCCUUAAAUGCAUUAGCUGGUUGCCUUGUGCAGACUUGUCUAUUGGUGUGAUAAUUAUCUACGCCGUGGACGGUCUGCCAGUCUUUAGCACCGCUUCUAACUGUCUGUUUACUCAGACACUAUAUGACAAUUGACCUC